rnacentral:rRNA from 1 species
GACGAACGCUGGCGGCGUGCCUAAUACAUGCAAGUCGAACGCAGUGGGGACGGGUGAGUAACACGUGGGUAACCUCCCAUCAGAGGGGAUAACACUUGGAAACAGGUGCUAAACCGAUCUGAAGGGUGGACCCGCGGGGCCUUAGCUAGUUGGUGAGGGAACGGCUCACCAAGGCCACGGGGCAUAGCCGACCUGAGAGGGUGAUCGGCCACACUGGGACUGAGACAUGGCCCAGACUCCUACGGGAGGCAGCAGUAGGGAAUCUUCGGCAAUGGACGAAAGUCUGACCGAGCAACGCCGCGUGAGUGAAGAAGGUUUUCGGAUCGUAAAACUCUGUUGUUAGAGAAGCGGUAUCUAACCAGAAAGCCACGGCUAACUACGUGCCAGCAGCCGCGGUAAUAC